ensembl:lncRNA
CAGACAGACUGGGAUGACCAACACUGGUAGGCAGAGAGACUGGGAUGACCAACACUGGUAGGUAGAGAGACUGGGAUGACCAACACUGGUAGGCAGACAGACUGGGAUGACCAACACUGGUAGGCAGAGAGACUGGGAUGACCAACACUGGUAGGCAGAGAGACUGGGAUGACCAACACUGGUAGGCAGACAGACUGGGAUGACCAACACUGGUAGGUAGAGACAGACUGGAUGACCAACACUGGUAGCUUGGCAUGUAAAGGCGAGGAAGAUGCCAAUGCCACUACAGUAUAUCUCCAUGGAAGUAUGAACCCCCAUAGCUAGCUACAGUUGGGCUCAAUUCCAUUUCAAUUCCAGUCAAUUCAGGAAGUAAAAGUAUCUCCAAU